AGCAGCCGCGGUAAUUCCAGCUCCAAUAGCGUAUAUUAAAGUUGUUGCAGUUAAAAAGCUCGUAGUUGAAUUUCGGGGUUAGUAGGCUGGUCAUGCCACCGGUAUGUACUGGUCUUUCUGAUUCCUCCUUCCUGAUGAACUGUAAUGCCAUUAAUUUGGUGUUGCAGGGAAUCUGGACUGUUACUUUGAAAAAAUUAGAGUGUUUAAAGCAGGCUAACGCUUGAAUACAUUAGCAUGGAAUAAUGAAAUAGGACGUUCGAUCCUAUUUUGUUGGUUUCUAGGAUUGACGUAAUGAUUAAUAGGGAUAGUUGGGGGCAUUAGUAUUCAAUUGUCAGAGGUGAAAUUCUUGGAUUUAUUGAAGACUAACUACUGCGAAAGCAUUUGCCAUGGAUGUUUUCAUUAAUCAAGAACGAAAGUUAGGGGAUCGAAGACGAUCAGAUACCGUCGUAGUCUUAACCAUAAACUAUGCCGACUAGGGAUCGGAUGAUGUUAAUUUUUUAAUGACUCA
rnacentral:rRNA from 1 species